rnacentral:rRNA from 1 species
CNGCAGUGGGGAAUAUUGCACAAUGGGCGAAAGCCUGAUGCAGCUAUGCCGCGUGUAUGAAGAAGGCCUUAGGGUUGUAAAGUACUUUCAACAAGAAAGAAACAAUGGAAUCUAAUACAUUUCAUUAUUGACGUUACUUGUAAAAGAAGCACCGGCUAACUCCGUGCCAGCAGCCGCGGUAAUACGGAGGGUGCUAGCGUUAAUCGGAAUUACUGGGCGUAAAGAGCACGUAGGCGGUUAAUUAAGUCAGAUGUGAAAUCCCUAAGCUUAACUUAGGAACUGCAUUUGAAACUGAUUAACUUGAGUUUCGUAGAGGGGGGUAGAAUUCUAGGUGUAGCGGUGAAAUGCGUAGAUAUCUGGAGGAAUACCAGUGGCGAAGGCGACUCCCUGGACGAAUACUGACGCUCAGGUGCGAAAGCAUGGGGAGCAAACAGGAUUAGAUACCCUGGUAGUCCAUGCUGUAAACGAUGUCGACUUGAAGGUUGUAAGCUUGACUUAUAGCUUUCGUAGCUAACGCGUUAAGUCGACCGCCUGGGAAGUACGACCGCAAGGUUAAAACUCAAAUGAAUUGACGGGGGCCCGCACAAGCGGUGGAGCAUGUGGUUUAAUUCGAUGCAACGCGAAGAACCUUACCUGGUCUUGACAUCCAUGGAAUUUAAUAGAGAUAUUUUAGUGCCUUCGGGAACCAUGAGACAGGUGCUGCAUGGCUGUCGUCAGCUCGUGUUGUGAAAUGUUGGGUUAAGUCCCGCAACGAGCGCAACCCUUAUUCUUUGUUGCCAUCAGUUAAAGCUGGGAACUCAAAGAAGACUGCCGGUGAUAAACCGGAGGAAGGUGAGGACGACGUCAAGUCAUCAUGGCCCUUACGGCCAGGGCUACACACGUGCUACAAUGGUAUAUACAAAGAGAAGCAUCCUUGUAAAAGUAAGCGGAUCUCACAAAAUAUAUCUUAGUUCGGAUUAGAGUCUGCAACUCGACUCUAUGAAGUCGGAAUCGCUAGUAAUCGUAGAUCAGAAUGCUACGGUGAAUACGUUCCCGGGCCUUGUACACACCGCCCGUCACACCAUGGGAGUGGGUUGUAAAAGAAGUAAGUUGUUUAACCUUUUGUAAAGAAGGAGGACGCUUACCACUUUAUGAUUCAUAACUGGGGUGAAGUCGUAACAAGGUAACCGUA